AUGCUCUGUAACUUGAAGAAGGAGUGGAAUUAUAUUCCACUUGUCAACAAGCUGUCACAUUCUUAUAACACCAGGGCUAACACCAAGAAGAAGAUGGAACAUUUGGAAAAAGAGAAUCGCGAGCUUCUCAAGGAAGUGAAUGCUCUAAGUACCGGUAUGGCCAAUUUGACUGUUUUGGUGGAAUGGUUGGUGGCUGCUCAGAAUCAUCCACCACCUCCUCCACCUCCUUCUCCUCAUGCUACUUAA